rnacentral:rRNA from 1 species
AUUGAACGCUGGCGGCAGGCCUAACACAUGCAAGUCGAGCGGAUGAGUGGAGCUUGCUCCAUGAUUCAGCGGCGGACGGGUGAGUAAUGCCUAGGAAUCUGCCUGGUAGUGGGGGACAACGUUUCGAAAGGAACGCUAAUACCGCAUACGUCCUACGAGAGAAAGCAGGGGACCUUCGGGCCUUGCGCUAUCAGAUGAGCCUAGGUCGGAUUAGCUAGUAGGUGAGGUAAAGGCUCACCUAGGCGACGAUCCGUAACUGGUCUGAGAGGAUGAUCAGUCACACUGGAACUGGGACACGGUCCAGACUCCUACGGGAGGCAGCAGUGGGGAAUAUUGGACAAUGGGCGAAAGCCUGAUCCAGCCAUGCCGCGUGUGUGAAGAAGGUCUUCGGAUUGUAAAGCACUUUAAGUUGGGAGGAAGGGCAGUAAGUUAAUACCUUGCUGUUUUGACGUUACCAACAGAAUAAGCACCGGCUAACUUCGUGCCAGCCGCCGCGGUAA